AGGAGAAGAGGAUGAAAAACAUAUUAUAGAGAAGCAAUGAGAACCCAGCUGAGGGGUGGUAAUAAACAGGGUCUUGCUGAAAACUGCAUGGAACAUUUCAAUUCCUGAAUUGAAUGAAGUUGGAUGUGUUUUCACAGUGCCAAUUCAGUUUGACAAGUGGGAAAGAGAUGUUUGCUGAGCAGGGAAAGAAUAUUUGAAGUCCAGAGGAAUUGAUUACACAGAUGACCCCAAGAACCAAGGUGAAUGAGGCUGUACAUAUGGGAUGCACCUUUC
rnacentral:lncRNA from 10 species